GUCCACGCUGUAAACGAUGAACACUUGGUGUGGUGGGAGUUGACCCUGCCGUGCCGGAGCUAACGCGUUAAGUGUUCCGCCUGGGAGUACGGUCGCAAGGCUGAACUCAAGGAAUUGACGGGCCCGCACAAGCGGUGGAGCAUGUGGUUUAAUUCGACGCAACGCGAAGAACCUUACCUGGGCUUGAACUGCAAUGGACCGCGGCAGAGAUGUCGUUUUCGCAAGAACUGUUGCAGAGGUGCUGCAUGGCUGUCGU
rnacentral:rRNA from 1 species